rnacentral:rRNA from 1 species
AUGCAGUCGAGCGGAACGAUCCUAGUCUUGCUAGGAGGCGUCCAGCGGCGGACGGGUGAGUAAUGCAUAGAGAAUCUGCCCGCAUAGUGGGGGAUAACCUGGGGAAACUCAUGCUAAUACCGCAUACAUCCUACGGGAGAAAGCAGGGGAUCUUCGGACCUUGCGCUAUCGGAUGAGCCUAUGUCGGAUUAGCUUGUUGGUGAGGUAAUGGNUCACCAAGGCNACGAUCCGUAGCUGGUCUGAAAGGAUGAUCAGCCACAUCGAGGACUGAUACACGGCCCGAACUCCUACGGGAGGCAGCAGUGGGAAUAUUGGACAAUGGGCGAAAGCCUGAUCCAGCCAUGCCGCGUGUGUGAAGAAGGCUUUCGGGUUGUAAAGCACUUUCAGUGAGGAAGAAGCCUUGGGGCUAAUACCCCCAAGGGACGACAUCACUCACAGAAGAAGCACCGGCUAACUCCGUGCCACAGCCGCGGUAAUAC